rnacentral:ncRNA from 1 species
UGCGCGAACUUUAUGUUUCGUCGCUACUUCUUAGAGGGACUUUGUGUGUUUAACACAAGGAAGCUUGAGGCAAUAACAGGUCUGUGAUGCCCUUAGAUGUUCUGGGCUGCACGCGCGCUACACUGACACGAUCAACAAGUAUUUCCUUGCCCGGUAGGGUUAGGGUAAUCUUUUGAAAUCGUGUCGUGCUAGGGAUAGACGAUUGCAAUUAUUCGUCUUCAACGAGGAAUUCCUAGUAAAUGCAAGUCAUCAGCUUGCGUUGAUUACGUCCCUGCCCUUUGUACACACCGCCCGUCGCUCCUACCGAUUGAGUGAUCCGGUGAGCUGUCCGGACUGCGAUUAGUUCAGUUUCUGUUCUCUUCGCGGGAAGUUCUGCAAACCUUAUCACUUAGAGGAAGGAGAAGUCGUAACAAGGUUUCCGUAGGUGAACCUGCGGAAGGAUCAUUC